rnacentral:rRNA from 1 species
AAAGGGUCCGUAGGCGGACUCGUAAGUCAGUGGUGAAAUCUCAUAGCUUAACUAUGAAACUGCCAUUGAUACUGCGGGUCUUGAGUAAGGUAGAGGUAGCUGGAAUAAGUAGUGUAGCGGUGAAAUGCAUAGAUAUUACUUAGAACACCAAUUGCGAAGGCAGGUUACCAUGUCUUAACUGACGCUGAUGGACGAAAGCGUGGGGAGCGAACAGGAUUAGAUACCCGAGU